AGCGCGUUGCAUCAGCUGAGCUAAGCGUCCUCCCGAGGGGGCGGGGCCGACCGGGGGAUCCAGAAGGUUCCCGACCUGACGCGCGGCUCACGCAACAUGUCCGGGCAUUGCACCGAGCCGAGCACGAGGAGGACUGCUGCCGGUAGGGAAUGCUGAACACGAGUAGUGGGCUUCAGUACGAUUCUCAAAGGAACCGAGUUAGCCAACAUCAGGUUACUAAUAUGCAGAGUGACAUGUUGGGAAUAUCAAUAUCACUUUGUUAACUUAGUAAAGUUCACAAGUCACAUGGCAAUGAUGAAUGCUGUUAUCUCAAUCCACCAGUGGGCCUCUUCAUAGGCUGGAAACCAUUCAUUGUGCCUGUAACUCAGGACAGCAAAAACAUUUUAAUAUCUGAUUUUUAUUCCUAUGAUUGUAAGCAGAUGUCCGAUGUCACAGAAAUAGUUUAUUUACUGUUAAAGAACACUUUCAUAUUAGCUUAAGUGUAUGAAAACCAUUAACAAAUGAAAAACUGUAGCAAAUAUCUAUUUUUUAAGUUUAAAUGUGUUCAACUCAGAGUUCCGAUGAAUUGAUUUAUUUGUUUCAUAGACAGUUGCAGAUGGACUGGUGUAUAAACAGUCAGUGGGAACUAUGGAAGACACGUAAGGUUGGACCAAACCUGUGAAUCUUUGUCACAAACAUUGUGCAAUUCUCCACUUUCCAGUGUCGUCCUUCUGUGUUUUUUGGAAGAUUGCAAUGCCAACAUUUAGCAGAACGGAGCCUACAGUAUCAAGUUUAAUUAAAACGUUCCUGUGUUAAUGCUCAUAUGCCAUACAAGUGUAUUUAUCGUGUUACAUGUUAAGACGGACGCUUUUAUAAGUCAUACACGUGUAGAUAUGCGGCAUCAAAGGACGACAUUGGGCAAGAAGAGGAACGUUGUAAAGACCGACUAAGACAACAUCUUCUCUGUGCUGAAGUUCUGGAGAGAAAAGUCAAGGUGUUGGGAGAGCAGCAGACUGGAUGAUACGAGGACAUCGAGGAAACACAGGAGGAGCAGAACCACAUGGAGGCUCGUCAGAAGCGGCUCAGCCACCUCCGACACAAUAUUGAUGCUGGACAAACAAUAUAUUCUCUUGCUUCUUUAAAAAGCCUCCAUUUAAAAAGUGGUUAACCAGGGUGUGCUAUGGGACAGGAGAGACUGUAUACGUUUUGUAAAUGUUAGUUUGUCCAGACUGCUGCAUGAACAGAGGGACUUGAAGCAAUUUAGCACGCUGCAACUGGUUAUUAGAUUUCCUCAAACAGACCCCUGGCGGUUUGGAAAGGCAGCUUAUGAGCCACAACACAAAAAAACACUUAAAAAUACCAUACGUAAAAUAAUGCUUGAGGAAUUCAUCACCAUUUUUAUGCUUUUACUUUCCAAAAGUUUUAAUUCAUUGCACACUUUUAUAAUUAUUUAUUUUAUAAAGUGUAGUACAAAACAGGUGCAGACAAGUACAUACUAAAUAAAUUAUACAAAAACAAA